rnacentral:rRNA from 1 species
AAUAGAUACCCAGGUAGUCCACCCGUAAACAUUGGGAACUAGUUGUGGGGUCCAUUCCACGGAUUCCGUGACGCAGCUAACGCAUUAAGUUCCCCGCCUGGGGAGUACGGCCGCAAGGCUAAAACUCAAAGGAAUUGACGGGGACCCGCACAAGCGGCGGAGCAUGCGGAUUAAUUCGAUGCAACGCGAAGAACCUUACCAAGGCUUGACAUAUACGAGAACGCUGCAGAAAUGUAGAACUCUUUGGACACUCGUAAACAGGUGGUGCAUGGUUGUCGUCAGCUCGUGUCGUGAGAUGUUGGGUUAAGUCCCGCAACGAGCGCAACCCUGUUCUAUGUUGCCAGCACGUAAUGGUGGGAACUCAUGGGAUACUGCCGGGGUCAACUCGGAGGAAGGUGGGGAUGACGUCAAAUCAUCAUGCCCCUUAUGUCUUGGGCUUCACGCAUGCUACAAUGGCCGGUACAAAGGGCUGCAAUCCGUAAAGGUGGAGCGAAUCCCGAAAAAGCCGGUCCCAGUUCGGAUUGAGGU